AGACUGUGUGUCGCGGCUGCUUCUGGUGCUGCUGUCCUGUCGGCCUCUGGGCUUAGGGGAGCACGUCUGAUGAAUACACAGUAUACUGCUCCCAGUCCCUGUCUUCGGUUUCAUGGACAAAUAAAAUGAGAGGUCAUAUGGACUGAAGAGAUGGCAGGAAGAAAAUUGAGAGAAUAUGGAUCAGAUUUUUUAAAAAGACCCUGCUGC